UGGGGAAUUUUGGACAAUGGGCGAAAGCCUGAUCCAGCAAUGCCGCGUGUGUGAAGAAGGCCUUCGGGUUGUAAAGCACUUUUGUCCGGAAAGAAAUCCUUGGCCCUAAUACAGUCGGGGGAUGACGGUACCGGAAGAAUAAGCACCGGCUAACUACGUGCCAGCAGCCGCGGUAAUACGUAGGGUGCAAGCGUUAAUCGGAAUUACUGGGCGUAAAGCGUGCGCAGGCGGUUUGCUAAGACCGAUGUGAAAUCCCCGGGCUCAACCUGGGAACUGCAUUGGUGACUGGCAGGCUAGAGUAUGGCAGAGGGGGGUAGAAUUCCACGUGUAGCAGUGAAAUGCGUAGAGAUGUGGAGGAAUACCGAUGGCGAAGGCAGCCCCCUGGGCCAAUACUGACGCUCAUGCACGAAAGCGUGGGGAGCAAACAGGAUUAGAUACCCUGGUAGUCCACGCCCUAAACGAUGUCAACUAGUUGUUGGGGACUUCAUUUCCUUAGUAACGUAGCUAACGCGUGAAGUUGACCGCCUGGGGAGUACGGUCGCAAGAUUAAAACUCAAAGGGAAUUGACGGGGUCAUAGCUGUUUCCU
rnacentral:rRNA from 1 species